UGGGUGAGGGGCUUCCUUCCUGGUGGGCUAGAGUCUGCCCGGCAACUAGUGAUGUAUUUCAAAUUGGUUGGCUGACAGCCAACAGAUGCUGACCUCCAUUGGACUAGGUAAAUGAGGUCACAAAGGCUGUAUAAGUGAAGAACUGCCCAGGAAGAGGGGGAGCAGCCAUGAGGGAGACACACAGACAAAGAGGAGCUGCACCAUCUGAAACUUGCUCUCUCUCAAAACUCAUGAUCAAGGAACUGCCUGCCUCCAGAGGGAAUCUCCACCUGCCUCUGGAUGAUACUUGGCAUCUCCCAUCCUCCGGGAAAGAUGGGAAAUGGUAUAAAAGCAGUCCAUACUCAGAGUUCCUCUAUCCACAUCUCAUCACCUCUCCACUCCAGGAAACCGAGCCAACCUCCACUGCAGGAACAUGUCUUCCUACAGACAGCUGAUCAGCUCCCGCUGCUACAACCCCUGUGAAGUGACCUGCCCACAGCCAUAUGCCGAUGCCUGGAACGAGCCCUGCGUGACAUCCUGCGGUGACUCCAGAGCCGUGGUCUACCCACCCCCGGUGGCCAUCACCUUCCCCGGACCCAUCCUCGCCUCCUGCCCCCAGGAGAGCUAUGUGGGCACCUCAGAACCCCAGUGCAUUGGCGGCCCAUACACUUUCGGCGGCUACCUGGGGUACAGAGGCUCAGUGGGCACCGGGUACUCCUACCCCUCUUAUUCCUGCCAGAUCAACAGAUACCGCUAUGGGGGCUGCAGGCCAUGCUAAAGCAGCAGGAAUAUCUGUGGCAGAAAGGAAUAGCCAAGAAAUGGGGAACAAGAUUCAGAUUCAGGAAUGAGUGGAGGCACAUUGUUUUCAGAGGCACAAAACACCCACUGCUUCUCUUUGCUGUGGGAGUCAAGGGUGCUCAGGAGCUCUGAAAAUCUUUCCAGUGCAUGAAGUUCUCUUUUCUGUAAUACUCCCUCUCUUUCUGAAUGAUAGCAGUAUGCCCUUAUUCAGGUAGCAGAGGUGGUAUGCAAUCGUUCAGUACACACUUUCUAUGACUAAAGUGGCGUAGAAGGAAGUUAGUAUCCACCACAAUGUGACUGUUUAUGCCAAGUUGUACCAUCUGUUUAUGGCCUUUAGCUUUUAACAAAAUCCAUUUCAGCAUGUAAAAUGUAGAAUAAGAAAAGCUACUUGGUGCUUUCCUUAUGUAGCUCUUUUUCCUGACUAAAAGGACUUAUUCUUCUGAAAAGUGGGAUUGUUGAAAUCUAGCACUGCAAGAAGAAAAAUAGACCAGCUUGUGCACAUGCAGCUUCUUGGAGUGGAGGAUUCGUUGUAGACCUGUUUCGAUCUCUGGAAAUAUGUUGUUUCUCUUUCUCAUUCUUUAACUUUGAAAAUGUAUGUUUCUCUUCUCAUUCCCAUUAAAAGAAAUCAGAUUGCAUCCUAA